AUUGAACGCUGGCGGCAUGCUUUACACAUGCAAGUCGAACGAGUGGCGAACGGGUGAGUAAUAUAUUGGAACGUACCGAGUAAUGGGGGAUAACCAAUAGAAAGAUUGGCUAAUACCGCAUAUUAUUCGAGCGGCCCAUAUUUGAGUAGCUAGUGGGUGGGCGAAAGGCCUACGAAGGCGACGAGCAGUAGCGGGUCUGAGAGGAUGAUCCGCCACACUGGGAUUGAGACACGGCCGAGAGUCCUACGGGAGGCAGCAGUGGGGAAUUUUGGACAAUGGGGGCAAGCCUGAUCCAGCCAUGCCGCGUGUCUGAAGAAGGCCUUCGGGUUGUAAAGGACUUUUGUUAGGGAAGCGGUACCUAAAGAAUAAGCACCGGCUAACUACGUGCCAGCAGCCGCGGUAAUAC
rnacentral:rRNA from 1 species